UUAUAUUUAUAACACUAUAUAAUAUAUAACGUAAAUAUAUUUAAUAAAACUACUAGAUGCGAAUGUUGUCUUAGCGUUCGUAACGAUAGUAUAGUGGGGCGGCGGUUAAGCGUCGGUCGUGGUGGACGGAGCAACACAACAGAUUGGAUUCAACAACCCAACAAACUCAAACGAUAGAAUUUGUCUUGCGGGAAAAGUCUCCGAAGAAGAAAACUCGGUUAUCGAAACGAAACUGAUUGGGACUCGAAGUUUAGGUAUUUUAGUCCUGCAACCCAUUAACAUUUACUAAGUACAGUUUUGUAUUGUUAUAAAUAUUAAUAAAAUCACUAAAAUAAA